ACACAUCCACUGAAGAAAAUAGUUCCAAAACAUAUUUGAAUAAGGAGGACAACGAAAUGUAUUUAUUUACAUUGAGAACUUUUGCUACAUCGGUUUUACAUUUGUUAAACCGAUGUAGCACUCUCAAAAAUUAAUCUUGUGUUUCUUGGAAAACGUAAAAUGACCCGCGGAUGGAUAUGCGGUUUCAAAAUCAAGCCUGUUCUCUUCAUCAGUCCGUUGGCGCGGAGUCUGCCUGUUGGCUGAUCUACGAAAGAAUCUGUAAGUACAUUUCUUCUGUUUUACCUAGUACCAAAUUUUAGGGAGAGAUUUUAAAUCGCUUGUUAAAAAAAUUGUUGCUCGUAACAAAUCGGACGACAGUAUCCCAAAAGAGACUUAAUUGUUAUUGUUAUUUUUGCUUUUCUUUAGGGUGAUACUUUUUCUGAUAUUGCUAACACACACAGCUACACACAAUAAGCAGAUUUUAGUGCAGACCGAUUUCAAACGCAGCGUUGUGGGCCAAACCAUUUUCAAAUACCGCCGCCAUUCUAUUUGUUGAGCUGCCAUUGGUUCAUUUGAGCGCCAACGAGGCAGAAUGAAAUCGGUUCACUGAAGAAUCUAUGUUGCUAGCAGAGGUUGUUACAAAGUGUCUGGACACAAUAAAACCAUUUGUAUGAUUUAAAAAGAGUAACUAUUGUGCUUUCAUUCUAUGUACUUGGGCUUUUAAUAAUCUUUCUCACAGUCACAUCAGCAUGCAUGGGUGGGUCUCAUGUAUGGAUUCAGGCUGGUUUGGCUGGGACCCAUGCAAGAUUAUUAUUGUCGUUUUUUUCAAUAAAACUGCAUUGAAUCGUUUAGCUUUGGGCUAUAUAGGUAAUGAUAAGAGGGCAUGGGUUUUAUCUGGGCCAACUGCGUGAGGCUCAAAAGGUUAACCGAAAUGGGACUCAUAUUGUUGGCUCAAUUGGGUUAAAUGUAUGGGCCCAAUUCAGCAUUAACGUGGGCUAACCGGGCAUGGGACAGAAAUGGGAACACUAUAUGGGGCCCAUGUGGUUUCAGUAUAUUGGGCCUAAAAGGUUUUUUGUAAAUAGGAUGAAGGCAUUGUAGUUCAUAUUUUUAAAUUCUUUUUUUAAUUGUUGUGUGACACUUUAAAGCGUUUUGUUAUGUCAUAGUUUAUUUCAAUCUGCCGCUAUUGUGUUGGUCUAGAGUAGUCAUCAGUGUCAGGGUUCCUGUGUGUGUAUGUGAGUGUCGCAUCUUAUUUCAGCGAGGAUCUUUGUGAGGAGCCCGUGGAGCUUGGCACAGGUGGAGGAGCAGCAGAAUCUUCAGUCUACGCUAGAUUGACUGAAGAUUCUACUGGUGUAUGCUAGAUGGUUGCAUACACCGGUAGUCACUCUGGCCUCUCCUGUUGUGAACAGUUUUCUGAGAACGUUUCUGUGUCUACUAGAAGUCACCUGGUCUCUGUGUUUGUUCGAUCCUAGGGGUUUUGUCGCCUCAUUCGAGAACUCACCAGUGAAUACCUGCCUGCUCGCUCCGCCGAUUCCACUGCCUCCACUCCACCCUUCGAGCUUCCAGCUCUCUUCCAUUCCCACCUCGCAUUUACCUUCGGAACCGCUGCACACCCUCUCUCAGGAACCUGGCAUCUCACACCCACGCCUCGAAAGACCCGCACCGAAGCUUCAAGAGGAUCAGCGUGUGAAGAUCACUUUAUAAUGAUUUGAAAAAGGUUGCCAUGGCUACAGAAAUUGGAGGAGCAUCCUUAGAUGACACAAUACAACCAGCUGUGCGAUUCCUCAUGUCCCAUGAACUGGAAGUCCAGUUCAACCUUUUUGGCCAACAUUGGAAACAAGCUCUUGGACCUGCGUCUCUUUGAUGUUUUGUAUGGGGACUUAAAAGAAAUUAUCCAUCUACAGAAUCACACAAGCAUACAGCAAAGACUCUCGAAGUGGUUUACUGGAGCCCGAGUGGAAGUGGAAAUAGACUAGAGAGACUGCCAGUUCAAACUCAGGUUGGGGAGGUCUUUCAAGAUGGACAGUUUCAGUAAAGUAUGAGAGAUUUCAAAUUUAAGCAUGCAUAUGGCAUGUAGGUUAUCUUUAAAAAUGUUUAACAAAAAUGUAUUGUGAAAGAUCUAUAUAGGUGUGUAUAUUCACAUUGUGUGUAUCAAUGUGAAUAUACGUGUAUAAAGUUAUAUAGAUAGUAUUUAGAUGUAUACAUUUAUAGACCUGUAGGAAAAUAUGUAGGUGUCUUUAUUUGUGUGCAUCUAUAGAUAUAUAUUUAUAGAUCUGUUUAUAAGUUUGUUAUAGUAAACUAGCUUCUGUUAUUUUCAAAGAUGUCGUGAAUAAUUGCAGAUUUUUUUUGUGGC